CACUACCUCUCAUCACUGCCACUUUGGAGCAGACACUGGAUAAGCUACCGCCGACCCCUGAAUGUCAGCGCAUCGACCUGAGCACAACCUUGGCAGACUCACCCCAGAGCCACUGGCAUCGCUACAGCUGGGGCAGCUUCCCACCAAGCCCAGACAGCCAGCACCCCGCUGACACUAAUGGGACACGGGGAUGGGCUGUGCUGGACCACCAAGACCAAGGACAUGCACCAACUCCAUGGCACAGAGCACAGCCCUGGCUUUGGGCUCCCUUUGCCACGUUUCCAUUGCCCACUUCCCCUUCCUGCAGGCACAUGGUCGGUGCCACCCGAACCUUUCACAACACCGAUACCAAAAGUGCAGCACAGCACCACGUCAGCUUUCUCCGUGCUGCUGCAGGGAACUCCCACCUUGCUGGCUGCCCUCUGAAAGUACCAGGGACUCCUUCAGCCCUACAGAGCCCAGCAGUGCUCGCCGCGCACCCAGCACGAUGGUCGAUAUUCUGCCAUUUUAUGUACAGAUACUAUUUAUUCUAUUUAAUUUGUAAAUACAGAAGGGGAUGAAGCAUUAUGUCUUUGCUCCGCUCAUCAUUUCUCCUCUUCUAAGGCCUGGUUGUACUUUCUGUUCUCAAAUAUGGGCAUCCCCCCACAGCAGACAACAACAAUGUGCCUUCCCUGGGGCUCAGAUGCACUCUCCGCACUGCAGGGGAAUCGCUGCAGCCCCCGUGGGUGCCCCAAUCCCCCCUCCUUCCACUUCCACAUCCUUUUUCCUUGGGGGUUUUGGGGUUUUGGGUUUUUUUUUUUUUUUUCCCCUCUAUCUUUUUUUUUUUUUUUUUUUUGGUUUGACUUCCUCUGAAAAACGGAGUCGUCAGAAACAAGCGUGAGGUUUCUGUGCUCCUGACGUCAAGCUCUGCAGCCGUCCCCGGGGCUGUGCCGGGUGCUGCCGGUUCCCAUUCACCGUGGGAGGCUCCAGCAGGCUGCAGUUGUGGCUGAGGGACACCACGUUCCCCCCCGCCCCGCCUCGGCAAGCUUUCCUUUCAGUGAAACAGAUGUCUUUGCCAGAAAACCACACGCUUUGGCUUUGAAAGCGGAGAGCACGGACAGCCCCUUUGGCUCUGAGAAACUACAGGCACUCACAUUUUCCUCGUUGAAGUCACAGCUCAACAUGCUGAGAUGUUUCUCUUCCAUUCCUUCUGCAAAAAGCUCUUUCCUCCCUCUCCCCCUCCACGCAGCGCGUAGCAUCACAUCUCAGCCCCUUGCUCUGGGGGGGCUGCUCCUGUAAAUACCUUUUUCCUCCCCAGCACCGACGCCUGAAUGCAUUUCCAGUGAUGCUCCAACAUUUCCAAAGCAUUUCCAACAAACCCCCCACCCACAGAGCCCCGUGCCCGGGGGUGUGAGGCACUGAGGGGAUGGAGGCAGCAGAGGGCAGCCCAGAGAUGGGCAGAGCCAUGCUGGGCACACAGCUGUUCCAUGCAGCUCAGCCCCAUGGGGACCUGUCCUGCUGCGCCCAACAGCACAGCACUGGGCUGCUGAGACCCAUACCAGAAA
rnacentral:lncRNA from 1 species